GAUGUGGGUUCGAUUCCCGCUACCC
rnacentral:tRNA from 1 species